GGAAUCUGGAAUUCGGUCUCUGAGAGCCGGGGGCUGUUUGAACUUGGCUGGGUGCUCCCCCGCACCGUUUUGUUAAGCGGCCGCUUCCCACUUGUCGGAGUUUCUGCUUCUUUCGCUUUCCUCCAGUCUCUUGGCAUAAUGUUUUCCAUGGUGAUACGAUGUCUCCUGUUCAUCACACCAAACCUCAUGAAAGACCCAAACUGGGCUGGUCUUCAGUGUCUUCCCUGAGGAUAGUCAUCGUGAGGGGACCACAGCAGGCCAUCAAAAUAAAAACUAUUCAAGAAGUCAGCUGCUGCUGUAAAGGUCAUCUGGAAAGUCCAGGGAAGGGCCCUGAGCUGCUGCUGGGAAAGGGAAAUUGUCCUCUGGCCCGUGAUCUGGCAUGUUUGUCUGCUGAGUGGCUUCAGUGGUUUCAUCUAUUGCUGAAAGAGCCAAGAGAAAGGAAUAAAACAGGACUAUAAUCCACACCACAAUGAGCAGGAUGAGAAGAGCAGCCAAGUGAGUGUUUUGUUUAUGUGCUGCCCCUUCUGGCACACCGAACUGCUGCACAGAUUUUAUGGG
rnacentral:lncRNA from 1 species